GACGAACGCUGGCGGCGUGCUUAACACAUGCAAGUCGAACGGAAAGGCCUGCUUUCCCUUGUGGAUUGUGGGUGCUCGAGUGGCGAACGGGUGAGUAACACGUGAGUGAUCUGCCCCCAACUUGGGUAUAAGCCUGGGAAACUGGGUCUAAUUCCCGAUAGGACUGCAGGGUGGUGCCUGUGGUGGAAAACGAUUUUCUAGUGGUUGGGGAUGAGCUCGCGGCCUAUCAGCUUGUUGGUGGGGUAAUGGCCUACCAAGGCGGCGACGGGUAGCCGGCCUGAGAGGGUGGACGGCCACAUUGGGACUGAGAUACGGCCCAGACUCCUACGGGAGGCAGCAGUGGGGAAUAUUGCACAAUGGGCGGAAGCCUGAUGCAGCGACGCCGCGUGGGGGAUGACGGCCUUCGGGUUGUAAACUCCUUUCGACCGCGAGGAAGCCACCUGGUUGGAAGGGUGGUGACGGUAGUGGUAGAAGAAGCACCGGCUAACUACGUG
rnacentral:rRNA from 1 species